CCUCGGUGAAAAGGGUGUUAAAUAAAGACUUAGGGCUUCGGUCAUAUCGAAGAAAAACAGGACAUCGUUUGAAUGCUCGUCUAAUGGA
rnacentral:pre_miRNA from 1 species